rnacentral:rRNA from 1 species
GGAGGGUGCAAGCGUUAAUCGGAAUUACUGGGCGCAAAGCGCACGCAGGCGGUUUGUUAAGUCAGAUGUGAAAUCCCCGGGCUCAACCUGGGAACUGCAUCUGAUACUGGCAAGCUUGAGUCUCGUAGAGGGGGGUAGAAUUCCAGGUGUAGCGGUGAAAUGCGUAGAGAUCUGGAGGAAUACCGGUGGCGAAGGCGGCCCCCUGGACGAAGACUGACGCUCAGGUGCGAAAGCGUGGGGAGCAAACAGGAUUAGAUACCCUGGUAGUCCACGCCGUAAACGAUGUCUACUGGUUGUUGGGGUUUAUUAACCUUGGUAACGAAGCUAACGCGUGAAGUAGACCGCCUGGGGAGU